GACGAACGCUGGCGGCGUGCUUAACACAUGCCAGUCGAACGGAAAGGCCCUGCUCUUGUGGGUGGCUCGAGUGGCGAACGGGUGAGUAACACGCGAGUAACCUGCCCUUGACUUUGGGAUAACUUCAGGAAACUGGGGCUAAUACCGGAUAGGAGCUCCUGCUGCAUGGUGGGGGUUGGAAAGUUUCGGCGGUUGGGGAUGGACUCGCGGCUUAUCAGCUUGUUGGUGGGGUAGUGGCUUACCAAGGCUUUGACGGGUAGCCGGCCUGAGAGGGUGACCGGCCACAUUGGGACUGAGAUACGGCCCAGACUCCUACGGGAGGCAUCAGUGGGGAAUAUUGCACGAGGGGCGGAAUCCUGAUGCAGCAACGCCGCGUGCGGGAUGACGGCCUUCGGGUUGUAGGCCGCUUUCGCCUGUGACGAAGCGUGAGUGACGGUAAUGGGUAAAGAAGCACCGGCUAGCUACGUG
rnacentral:rRNA from 1 species